ACAAACAAUACUGCAUUAACUGCACUGACCUUCUUCCAAGAGGCUGUGGAAAGAUAUGGCUUCCCUCUCAGGGUCAGAGUGGACCAUGGAGUUGAGAAUGUGGACAUUGCACGUUUAAUGUUCACAAUUCGUGGCACAGGAAGAAGCAGUUUCAUUUCAGGAAAAAGUGUCCACAACCAAAGAAUAGAGAGACUGUGGAGAGAUGUGUGGACUGCAGUGACCAGUGUGUACUAUGAUGUGCUAUACUAUCUUGAGGAGGACAACUACCUUAAUAUUGCAGACCAAACACAUCUCUUCUGUUGCCACUACACAUUCCUGCCAAGGCUGCAAGAUGAUCUAAACUUUUUCAGAGAUGGGUGGGAUAAUCACCCUUUGAGAACAGAACAUAACAUGUCUCCAAACCAGCUCUGGGAAUUGGGUCAAAUUCACUAUCAAGUUGAUGAUCCCCCAAACG